UACGUAGGUGGCAAGCGUUAUCCGGAAUCAUUGGGCGUAAAGGGUGCGUAGGCGGCUUCUUAAGUCUGUAGUGAAAUCGUGGGGCUUAACUCCAUCAAGCUACGGAAACUGGGAGGCUAGAGUGCGGUAGAGGUUAGCGGAAUUCCAUGUGUAGCGGUAAAAUGCGUAGAUAUAUGGAGGAACACCGGUGGCGAAGGCGGCUAACUGGGCCGUAACUGACGCUGAGGCACGAAAGCGUGGGGAGC
rnacentral:rRNA from 1 species